GAUGAACGCUAGCUACAGGCUUAACACAUGCAAGUCGAGGGGAAACGACAUCGAAAGCUUGCUUUUGAUGGGCGUCGACCGGCGCACGGGUGAGUAACGCGUAUCCAACCUGCCCACCACUUGGGGAUAACCUUACGAAAGUAAGACUAAUACCCAAUGACGUCUCUAGAAGACAUCUGAAAGAGAUUAAAGAUUUAUCGGUGAUGGAUGGGGAUGCGUCUGAUUAGCUUGUUGGCGGGGUAACGGCCCACCAAGGCGACGAUCAGUAGGGGUUCUGAGAGGAAGGUCCCCUACAUUGGAACUGAGACACGGUCCAAACUCCUACGGGAGGCAGCAGUGAGGAAUAUUGGUCAAUGGGCGAGAGCCUGAACCAGCCAAGUAGCGUGCAGGAUGACGGCCCUAUGGGUUGUAAACUGCUUUUAUAAGGGAAUAAAGUGAGUCUCGUGAGACUUUUUGCAUGUACCUUAUGAAUAAGGACCGGCUAAUUCCGUGCCAGCCGCCGCGGUAA
rnacentral:rRNA from 1 species